rnacentral:tRNA from 1 species
GGAGAGGUGCCAGAGUGGUUGAAUGGAUCACUCUCGAAAAGUGAAGUAGGGGCAACCCUACCGGGAGUUCGAAUCUCCCCCUCUCCG